rnacentral:rRNA from 1 species
AUUGAACGCUGGCGGCAGGCCUAACACAUGCAAGUCGAGCGGUAGAGAGAAGCUUGCUUCUCUUGAGAGCGGCGGACGGGUGAGUAAUGCCUAGGAAUCUGCCUGGUAGUGGGGGAUAACGUUCGGAAACGGACGCUAAUACCGCAUACGUCCUACGGGAGAAAGCAGGGGACCUUCGGGCCUUGCGCUAUCAGAUGAGCCUAGGUCGGAUUAGCUAGUUGGUGGGGUAAUGGCUCACCAAGGCGACGAUCCGUAACUGGUCUGAGAGGAUGAGCAGUCACACUGGAACUGAGACACGGUCCAGACUCCUACGGGAGGAAGCAGUGGGGAAUAUUGGACAAUGGGCGAAAGCCUGAUCCAGCCAUGCCGCGUGUGUGAAGAAGGUCUUCGGAUUGUAAAGCACUUUAAGUUGGGAGGAAGGGCAGUAAAUUAAUACUUUGCUGUUUUGACGUUACCGACAGAAUAAGCACCGGCUAACUCUGUGCCAGCAGCCGCGGUAA